rnacentral:Y_RNA from 1 species
GGCUGGUCUGAUGGUAGUAGAUUUUCAGAACUUACUAACAUUAGCAUCACUAAAGUUAUAUAUAAUCCCUUACUGCUAAAUCUUGCUGGCUAAAA